AGAGAGAGAGAGAGAGAGAGAGAGAGCGCGGUACUGAGAUCUGUCCUUCCUGUGAGCAGGUGUGAUGCAGUGUGUGUGAGAGUGUGUGUGAGAGUGUGUGUGAGAGUGUGUGUGAGAGUGUGUGUGAGAGUGUGUGUGAGAGUGUGUGUGAGAGUGUGUGAGAGAGUGUGUGAGAGAGUGUGUGAGAGAGUGUGUGUGAGAGUGUGUGUGAGAGUGUGUGUGAGAGUGUGUGUGAGAGUGUGGUGUGAGAGUGUGUGUGAGAGUGUGUGUGAGAGUGUGUGUGAGAGUGUGUGUGAGUGAGUGUGUGACUGAGAUCCUGUCCUUCCUGUGAGCAGGUGUGAUGCAGUAUGUGUGAGAGUGUGUGUGAGAGUGUGUGUGAGAGUGUGUGUGAGAGUGUGUGUGAGAGUGUGUGUGAGUGAGUGUGCUACUGAGAUCCUGUCCUUCCUGUGAGCAGGUAUGCUGCAGUGUGUGUGUGAGAGAGUGUGUGAGAGAGUGUGUGAGAGAGUGUGUUGAGAGAUGUGGUACUGAGAUCCUGUCCUUCCUGUGAGUGUGUGAGUGAGUGAGUGAGUGUGUGUGUGU
ensembl:lncRNA